GAAGAGGAGAUGGGUGAGGCCUACCUUGAAAUAGCUACCUUUAAAAGGGAAAACUUCCACUCCCAAAAAAACAGUUUUAAAAUUAGGGCAGCAGCAGAGGCUAGAGCCCUGCCCUCCACCUCCUCUGGCCCCAUCUGGCAUUUUGCUGUGAAACAAUCAGGCACAGGGGGCCCUUCACUCGGAGAACGGAGAGUCUGAGCUACAAAAACCCUAUUUAUUUUCAAUGGCUUACAGCGGAGCUCGGGUUUCAGGCUCGGGAGGGGAGAUUAAAGAUCCUCUGGUUUAAACUUUGAUCCUUCAAAAAGAUAGCCAAGUGAGCCAAUUCUGGCCUUGAGACUGAGCAGCUUGGAAUCCUAACAGGUGCCUAAGAGGACCAGCCUUCAGAAUUAACAUUUUAGCCUGGACAAAUCCGCCCCAUGGACUGGCUCAUCCAAGUAACAGGUGUUUGGCAUUUGGGGACAAAAAGGAAGAGGGGGAUUUAAUGGGACUCGAGUGUCCUUCAGGCAAGUGCCACUUCCACCAGGAACUCACUCGACCACAACAAGAAACGCAAGGAGUGCCCAGGCCAAGCGCAUCUGAAGGCAGGGCAAACACUCCCAUUUCCCCCUCUGAUUGCCUUCUGGCAGACAGCUUAUUCUCUGCUGUAAUUUACAUGCUCCAUGGAGUAGGCCUUGUUGGCAGAAGAGCAACUGUACCAGGCCCCAGAGUGACCUCUAACAGGGGUGGAGGUUUCACCUUUGACAACUGAAACUCCUCCUCAGUGAUCCUUUUCCUUUUUCCUGUUUUGGGACGUUCUGAUUCAUCGGUCUGCCGGUCAGGCAAAGGCCUUCUGUUGGGCUGUGUCUGCGAUGCCUGGACCAGCGCCUGGCACACAACGUGUGCACACCUACUAGGUCCUCCUGCCCUGGACGCUCCUCUCCAGGUGGCUCCUGCUCACCCUCCACGUCUCCCUCCACUGCCACCACCUCUGAAAGGGC